GGCUGGUCUGAGUGCAGUGGUGUUUACAAGUAAUUGAUCACAACCAGUUACAGAUUUCUUUGUUCCUUCUCCACUCCCACUGCUUCACUUGAUUAGCUUUAA
ensembl:misc_RNA Y_RNA Y RNA